CCCUUAGAUGUUCUCGGCCGCACACGCGCUACACUGAAAGAGGCAACGUGUUUGCCUGAUUCGAAAGAAUUGGGUAACCCCCUAAUCUCUUUCGUGCUGGGGAUUGAGGUUUGCAAUUAUCCUUCAUGAACGAGGAAUUCCCAGUAAGUGCGAGUCAUUAUCUCGCGCUGACUACGUCCCUACCCUUUGUACACACCGCCCGUCGCUACUACCGAUUGAAUGAUUUAGUGAGGACUUCGGACUGAGUCCAAUGCGGCUUUCGGGCUGCGUUGGUAUUUCGGAAAGAUGUCCAAACUGUAUCAUUUAGAGGAAGUAAAAGUCGUAACA
rnacentral:rRNA from 1 species